rnacentral:ncRNA from 2 species
AAGGUCGAACGACGGUAGGGUUCGACCAACGGAGCUGAUGCGGGGAAGUCCUGUGUGAUUCAGGCGCGGUCCCGCCACUGUGUACGAGUAUUCCGAUUGUCGGCAGCCUCGUAAGCCAGAUCACCGCACAGCAUCGAAAUUACUU